CUUAUUCCUUCUACGAUCUAUAUAUAAUUAUAUACCAUGAGGUAUCUAACGUAAAAAUUACUAGAAACGCUGCACAUUUGAAUUCUCAAGCUUUCAAGCAUUCUACUCAUUCUCCCAAGACCACAAUGUAUUUCAAAAUAAGCACACUGACUACCAGCAUCGCAUUCAACAUGUACAUAAAAUUGACCUCAAGUUUUAUCUGACUCAAGUAAGUGAUUUUGAACUCAAGUAAGUGAUUUUGAACCGAACCUUGUCUAAGUUGAAAAGAUAAUUUAAAAGAUUUUUUAAGCAAGUUAAAAUUUACCACCACAUUCCACACAUAUUUCAGUUUUCUAGUUUAAUUGAUCAGCUGACGAGCAAUCAAUAGGAUUUUUAACUAAUCACUUAGUUAGGCAUGAUUUAUCUGGACAUCAAACAAUUUACAUCAAUUUUGCUGAUACAUGUCAUCCAACUAAUUCAGUAUCAACUAGUCUGUCUUGAAACACUUAAGUUGAAAAAAAAGUAAAAUUAUUAAUGAUGUAUUUCUCUCCCUUCCUACAUAAGUACAUAUUCGUAUUGAGACCAACAAGUAGUAAUAAUAAUAAUACGUUGUGUAGUCAUUAAAUAUAAACAAAAUUUAAUAUAGCCGUUGACCAGCCAAAACUGC